AAUAAAUUAAAUAAUAACAAAUUGACUCUCUCGGGACAAAAAAGGAUUAGGGUUCUAACAAAAUCAAGAUAUUUCACCAGAGGAACACAGGUGAGAAGACGUCUACGAACUACCGAGCAUAUUGUAUUCUUAUUAUUUGUCCCUACCACCAAUUCUUUCCGAUUACUGAUUCUUUUUUCUUUUCAAUUGAUCUCAUUGAAAAAAAAAACAAAUUUCCCCGACGAUCCUCUGAUUCAUCUGCAAAUCAUUGUCCUCAAAUGGCUUUGGGGAAGAGACGCGGUGGAUUGGUGAUUGCUGGCUGAAUGAUUCCAAAACUGAUACGGAUACAGAUAACUGAAGAAUCGAACAUAUAUUGUUUCAGUAUGAUGGAUCUAUUGUGUUUCAGUACUGUCCAGGGUCCAGGGAGCAAUGAUCGUGUAACAUAGUUUCUAUUGUAUUUUUGUUAAAUGUUAAGCUAAUGUAAUUAAGGUAAUAUAAUUUGAAUGAACAUUGGAGAACGACAUUAUUAAGGGUGGACUGUCAAUGGCAUUUGUUGUAAAUUCUCUA